GUAUUUGAUUUGGCGAAACACGUAUACUAAAAUUUCAACGAUAAAGAGAUUAGCAUGAUCCUUGUGCAAGGACAACACGCAAAAUCGUCUGUAUAGCAACACUAUA